UGCAAGCUGAGCGGUAGAGUUCCUUCGGGGACUUGAGAGCGGCGUACGGGUGCGGAACACGUGUGCAACCUGCCUUUAUCAGGGGGAUAGCCUUUCGAAAGGAAGAUUAAUACCCCAUAAUAUAUAGAGUGGCAUCGCUUUAUAUUGAAAACUCCGGUGGAUAAAGAUGGGCACGCGCAAGAUUAGAUAGUUGGUGAGGUAACGGCUCACCAAGUCGAUGAUCUUUAGGGGGCCUGAGAGGGUGAUCCCCCACACUGGUACUGAGACACGGACCAGACUCCUACGGGAGGCAGCAGUGAGGAAUAUUGGACAAUGGGUUAGCGCCUGAUCCAGCCAUCCCGCGUGAAGGACGACGGCCCUAUGGGUUGUAAACUUCUUUUGUACAGGGAUAAACCUAUCUACGUGUAGAUAGCUGAAGGUACUGUACGAAUAAGCACCGGCUAACUCCGUGCCAGCAGCCGCGGUAAUACGGAGGGUGCAAGCGUUAUCCGGAUUUAUUGGGUUUAAAGGGUCCGUAGGCGGAUGUGUAAGUCAGUGGUGAAAUCUCACAGCUUAACUGUGAAACUGCCAUUGAUACUGCAUGUCUUGAGUAAGGUAGAAGUGGCUGGAAUAAGUAGUGUAGCGGUGAAAUGCAUAGAUAUUACUUAGAACACCAAUUGCGAAGGCAGGUCACUAUGUCUUAACUGACGCUGAUGGACGAAAGCGUGGGGAGCGAACAGGAUUAGAUACCCUGGUAGUCCACGCUGUAAACGAUGCUUACUCGUUUUUGGGGAUUUAUCUUCAGAGACUAAGCGAAAGUGAUAAGUAAGCCACCUGGGGAGUACGAACGCAAGUUUGAAACUCAAAGGAAUUGACGGGGGCCCGCACAAGCGGUGGAUUAUGUGGUUUAAUUCGAUGAUACGCGAGGAACCUUACCAAGGCUUAAAUGGGAAUUGAUCGGUUUAGAAAUAGACCUUCCUUCGGGCAAUUUUCA
rnacentral:rRNA from 1 species